rnacentral:rRNA from 1 species
AGUCUUUCUGCCCAUUGAUUUUAAAAGGCUGCGGUAAUUUAACUGUACAAAGGUAGCAAAAUAAAUAGUUUUUUAAUUUAAAACUAGAAUGAAAGAAUUGAUAAAAUAUAAAUUGUCUCAAUUAAUAAAUUUAAAUUUUAAGUUAAAGUGCUUAAAUUUAUUUAUAGGACGAUAAGACCCUAAGAAUUUAAUAAUUUUGUUUAUUAUAAUAUUUAAAUUUAAAUAUAAUUAUUUUAUUGGGAGGAUAAUUAAAUUAAACUUUAAUUUUUAAAAACAUAUAUUAAUGAAUUUAAUGAUUAUUUUAAAGAUUAAAAGAAUAAAUUACCUUAGGGAUAACAGCGUAAUAAUUUUGGAGAGUUCAUAUUUAUAAAAUUGUUUACGACCUCGAUGUUGAAUUAAAAUAAAAAUUAAAUGGAGAUAUUUAAAUUUUUAGUCUGUUCGACUAUUAAAAUUUUAC